rnacentral:rRNA from 1 species
CACGCUGUAAACGAUGAGUACUAAGUGUCGGGAAACCGGUGCUGAAGUUAACACAUUAAGUACUCCGCCUGAGUAGUACGGUCGCAAGGCUAAAACUCAAAGGAAUUGACGGGCACCCGCACAAGCGGUGGAGCAUGCUGUUUAAUUCGAAGAUACGCGAAAAACCUUACCUAGACUUGACAUCCCUGGCAAAACUAUAGAAAUAUAGUGGAGGUUACCCAGGUGACAGGUGG